rnacentral:rRNA from 1 species
ACCUGCGAAACUCGAAUGNNNNNACGGAGAGAUUCAUCGUCAUUCGGCGGCGUACGGGCGUGCGCCUCGAUGUGUGUCUGUCGUUUCGGCGAUACGGCGCGCACGGGACGCGUCCGUCGACGUCCGCCGACGGCGUGCACUUCCCUCUUAGUAAUGCAUCGCGACCCGUUCGGGGUCGGCCUAAGCGCCUCUCGGGAGUCCGUCGGCGAGCGUCUCGGCGUUCGCUGGCGUACCGUGGUUGGGUUGCCGGCCGGCCGUUGCGGACGGUACAUAUGAUGGAUAAUACGCUUCGAUGCGAACCGCGCACGCGUUUACGCGCGUCCGGCCCGACGCAAGCUAGCGUCCCGUUGGACGUCCUGCCCAAGUGCGGACGUACUUCGGUCGUUGCUGUCAGUCGCCGCCGUGCAGUCUCGGACUGUGCGCGUCUCUGUCUGCGAUGAUUCUGUUUCGGGCACUCGCAGGACCCGUCUUGAAACACGGACCAAGGAGUCUAGCAUGUGUGCGAGUCAUUGAGUUUGAUUCAACAGACAAAACUGAAAGGCACAACGAAAGUGAAGGCGUGCGCUUGUCGCGCGCUCAGGGAGGAUGGAGCGUCGGUCUCGGUCGAUCUCUCGCACUCCCUAGGCGUCUCGUUUCCAAUCAGUGAAUGCGGGCGCGCUAUGAGCACAGAUGCUGGGACCCGAAAGAUGGUGAACUAUGCCUGGUCAGGUCGAAGUCAGGGGAAACCCUGAUGGAGGACCGUAGCGAUUCUGACGUGCAAAUCGAUCGUCNNNACUGGGUAUAGGGGCGAAAGACUAAUCGAACCAUC